rnacentral:rRNA from 1 species
UACGAAGGGGGCGAGCGUUGUUCGGAAUCAUUGGGCGUAAAGGGCGCGUAGGCGGGUUUGUAAGUCGAUUGUGAAAUCCCUGGGCUUAACCUGGGAAUUGCAGUCGAAACUGCAAGUCUUGAGUUCUCGAGAGGAUGGUGGAAUUCCUGGAGUAGUAGUGAAAUACGUAGAUAUCAGGAGGAACACCGGAGGCGAAGGCGGCCAUCUGGCGAGACACUGAGCUAAGGCGCGAAAGCGUGGGUAGCAAACAGG